GAAUUCGCCCUUAGAGUUUGAUCCUGGCUCAGGACGAACGCUGGCGGCGCGCCUAACACAUGCAAGUCGAACGAGCGAGAGAGAGCUUGCUUUCUCGAGCGAGUGGCGAACGGGUGAGUAACGCGUGAGGAACCUGCCUCAGAGAGGGGGACAACAGUUGGAAACGACUGCUAAUACCGCAUAAGCCCACAGGUCGGCAUCGACCAGAGGGAAAAGGAGCAAUCCGCUUUGAGAUGGCCUCGCGUCCGAUUAGCUAGUUGGUGAGGUAACGGCCCACCAAGGCAACGAUCGGUAGCCGGACUGAGAGGUUGAACGGCCACAUUGGGACUGAGACACGGCCCAGACAUCCUACGGGAGGCAGCAGUGGGGAAUAUUGCACAAUGGGGGAAACCCUGAUGCAGCCGACGCCGCGUGGAGGAAGAAGGUUUUCGGAUUGUAAACUCCUGUUGUUGAGGAAGAUAAUGACGGUACUCAACAAGGAAGUGACGGCUAACUACGUGCCAGCAGCCGCGGUAAAACGUAGGUCACAAGCGUUGUCCGGAAUUACUGGGUGUAAAGGGAGCGCAGGCGGGAAGACAAGUUGGAAGUGAAAUCUAUGGGCUCAACCCAUAAACUGCUUUCAAAACUGUUUUUCUUGAGUAGUGCAGAGGUAGGCGGAAUUCCCGGUGUAGCGGUGGAAUGCGUAGAUAUCGGGAGGAACACCAGUGGCGAAGGCGGCCUACUGGGCACCAACUGACGCUGAGGCUCGAAAGUGUGGGUAGCAAACAGGAUUAGAUACCCUGGUAGUCCACACCGUAAACGAUGAUUACUAGGUGUUGGAGGAUUGACCCCUUCAGUGCCGCAGUUAACACAAUAAGUAAUCCACGUGGGGAGUACGACCGCAAGGUUGAAACUCAAAGGAAUUGACGGGGGCCCGCACAAGCAGUGGAGUAUGUGGUUUAAUUCGACGCAACGCGAAGAACCUUACCAAGUCUUGACAUCCUGCGACGAUGCUGGAAACAGUAUUUUCCUUCGGGACGCAGAGACAGGUGGUGCAUGGUUGUCGUCAGCUCGUGUCGUGAGAUGUUGGGUUAAGUCCCGCAACGAGCGCAACCCUUACUGUCAGUUACUACGCAAGAGGACUUUGGCAGGACUGCCGUUGACAAAACGGAGGAAGGUGGGGAUGACGUCAAAUCAUCAUGCCCCUUAUGACUUGGGCUACACACGUACUACAAUGGCGUUAAACAAAGAGAAGCAAGCCCGCGAGGUGGAGCAAAACUCAGAAACAACGUCCCAGUUCGGACUGCAGGCUGCAACUCGCCUGCACGAAGUCGGAAUUGCUAGUAAUCGUGGAUCAGCAUGCCACGGUGAAUACGUUCCCGGGCCUUGUACUCACCGCCCGUCA
rnacentral:rRNA from 1 species